rnacentral:rRNA from 1 species
AGCUCCAGUAGCGUAUAUUAAAGUUGUUGCAGUUAAAAAGCUCGUAGUUGGAUCUCGGGUCGUCGACGGUGGUUCGGGUUCAUGCCCGCUUACUGCCGCCGACACCUAACCGGCGGGACGCGUCGGGUGCCCUUGACUGGGUCGCCCGCCGCACCCGCUCAAUUUACUUUGAAAAAAUUAGAGUGUUCAAAGCAGGCUCCAACGCCUGGAUAAUGGUGCAUGGAAUAAUGGAAUAGGAUCUCGGUUCUAUUUUGUUGGUUUUCGGAACUUGAGAUAAUGAUUAAGAGGGACAGACGGGGGCAUUCGUAUUGCGGUGUUAGAGGUGAAAUUCUUGGAUCGCCGCAAGACGAACUACUGCGAAAGCAUUUGCCAAGAAUGUUUUCAUUAAUCAAGAACGAAA